rnacentral:tRNA from 1 species
CGUGUUGUAGUGUAAAUAGCACACUUGAUUUUCAUUCAAUUAGAGUAAAUUUAUUUACCAACUCGC